GACGAACGCUGGCGGCGUGCUUAACACAUGCAAGUCGAACGAAGAGCGACGGAAGCUUGCUUCUAUCAUUCUUAGUGGCGAACGGGUGAGUAACGCGUAAUCAACCUGCCCUUCAGAGGGGGACAACAGUUGGAAACGACUGCUAAUACCGCAUACGAUCUAAUCUCGGCAUCGAGGAUGGAUGAAAGGUGGCCUCUACAUGUAAGCUAUCACUGAAGGAGGGGAUUGCGUCUGAUUAGCUAGUUGGAGGGGUAACGGCCCACCAAGGCGAUGAUCAGUAGCCGGUCUGAGAGGAUGAACGGCCACAUUGGGACUGAGACACGGCCCAGACUCCUACGGGAGGCAGCAGUGGGGAAUCUUCCGCAAUGGACGAAAGUCUGACGGAGCAACGCCGCGUGAGUGAUGACGGCCUUCGGGUUGUAAAGCUCUGUUAAUCGGGACGAAAGGCCUUCUUGCGAAUAGUGAGAAGGAUUGACGGUACCGGAAGAGAAAGCCACGGCUAACUACGUG
rnacentral:rRNA from 1 species